UAAAAUUGAGUUGUUACGCGUAAAUGGUAGCUAACAAUGCAUAGUUUCGUAACAAUGGAUGAGCUCAACAACUUUGUUCUGGAAAACUGCUGGAAAACAUCCAAACAUAUUGUCCCAUCUCGUAAGAAGCAAUGUUAUAAAAUCAUAUAAAAACGCGUUUUUCUCGGCUUGCUGAAAAUGCAGGUGGGACUGACAUGCUAUGCGCGGCAGUAUAGCCCAGUUAGUGAACGCCCAGUGAAAAAGCAGCCCAGUUAAACAGCACCCAGUUAGCGAACAGUUACUGUAUUUCAGCGGAAUUUCAGUUAGGUGAACCGAGAUUGACGAAAAAAUGUCAUUAUUUUAACCGAGCAUUAUGUGGAGCCGUUCUCGGCAAUAAACUAUCGAGACUCGGCAGUUAAUUUUAAGUGUGCAGAAUGAAGAAAUUAAAUAAUCCUACAGAAGCUUCUAGACCAUACCACAAGCAGUAUUGUUUAAUUGUACAGUGAGCGUCUAGAUGAUUUCUCAGCCGACGAGCUUAAGAAGGUUGUACUGUGGGUUACUGUGAAACAACUGAAUUAUCGCUGGAAGAGAAAUAGCUUAUGCAGAAUCAAAUUGACCAACUCAUUCCACCGAAGAUCAAGAUAGAUAACAGAACUAUCAUAGUUCACCACGAGGUGGGUUUAUUUCUGGCAGAUGAUAAAGUUAACUCUAUCUUUGGAAACAAAUCAUCUCCAACUUACUACAUUUGGAAGGCAAAACCAAAGCAAAUGAAUGAACUGGAUUCGGUAAACCAGUGUGAGAAGAACAGCGAAGUUUUUCGGUUUGGACUCUCAACUUUACAUGCAUGGACACGAGUCUCGGAGUAUAUUCUGAUUUGUCAUACCGUCUUGACAUUGAAAAAUGGCAGAUUAGCGGAAAGGAUAGCAAAAGUAUGAAAAUAAGGAAAAGGCAAGUCCAGAAACGGUUCAAGAUCGACACAGUACUAAUUGUAGAUAAACCAAAUCCAGGAGGAACAGGGACAUCAAAUGAUGGAAAUACUGUUUGACGUUUUUUCACAACGCUUCUUAAACGACAUCAAUAUUUUGGCUGGACGUAAAAGCUUUGGAACGAUAUGGUUCAAUAUUGCAUAAAAUGUUGUUAGGUAUUCUGGAUCUAAAAUGAACACUCAGCGGUUUUCCGAAUAUUGUACAAAAAUUGCAGUAUGCCUAGUGCUUUUGUACUCGUGGUACUAUAUACUAGCUUUAGUGCAUAAUAUACUCAGUUAUGACAGCGAAGUCAUAAAACACUUCAAUGUUUCACUUUCCGAAGAGGCUCAGGAAUCUUGGAAUAAAGAACUAAAGCGAUA